AGCUUUGUGCAGGGGCAGUAGCAUAGCCAAUGAGGUUUAUUUGAGGCAUGAUUAUUCCUAAUUUGAAAGAGCAUUGGGCAUAGCAUCCAAAUAAGAACAGAGCUGGCAUCCCAGAUCUGCCAUUUAUUCACAGUAGGACCAU
ensembl:snRNA U4 U4 spliceosomal RNA